rnacentral:tRNA from 1 species
UUGGGUUUAGGAGACACUUCAAUGUUAUUAAAAGUAGCAUUCAGAUCAUGGAAAGCUAAAGGUUCUUUUCCUUGAUCAUAAA